AGAUCAGGAUCGUGGCGGACCUCUGGGUCCCUCCAGCCUCUUAACUUCCGAGGGACAAGUCUGCACCAAUCUGGACGCUGUGUUGGGGCAACUUCCAACCGCAAGAGAGUCCUGCAAGUCCUGAACCACUGACGAAGGAAGGAGCUGGGUGCUUGGCCAUCAGAGGCAUGAAUUACGCACGGUUCAUAACCGCCAGGAGCGCAGUCAGAAAGACUUCUCCCAUCAGAGCCACGGCUGAUAUUGUGAGCAAGGCACCAAAAUCACUCAUCUCCCUGGCUGCUGGAACUCCAAAUGCAAAUAUGUUCCCCUUUAAGAGUGCUGUUAUCACUGUAGAAAAUGGAAAUUCCAUCAAGUUUGGAGAAGAGAUGAUGAAGGAAGCACUUCAGUAUUCUCCAUCUUCUGGACUUCCGAAACUUGUAUCCUGGCUAAAACAGUUACAAAUAAAAUUGCAUAAUCCUCCCACCAUUCAUUAUCCACCCAGUCAAGGAAAAAUGGAUUUAUGUGUCACAUCUGGCUCCCAAGAUGGUCUUUGUAAGAUAUUUGAAAUGCUUGUUGAUCCUGGAGACAACAUCCUCCUAAAUGAACCUGCUUAUUCAGCAACCAUUCAAGCUCUGCUACCGCUGGGCUGCAACAUUAUUAAUGUUCCCAGCGAUAAAUAUGGGAUUAUUCCAGACUCCCUCACAGAAAUACUUUGCAAAUGGAAACCAGAAGAUUCAAAGGACCCCAAGAAAAACACCCCCAAAUUUCUAUACACUGUCCCAAAUGGCAACAACCCAACUGGAAAUUCACUGAGAGGUGACCGAAAAAAGAAAAUCUAUGAGCUUGCAAGAAAAUAUGAUUUCCUCAUAAUAGAAGAUGAUCCUUACUAUUUUCUCCAGUUUAACAAGCCCUGGGAACCAACAUUUCUUUCCAUGGAUGUUGAUGGGCGUGUCAUCAGAGCUGACACCUUCUCAAAAGUCCUGUCCUCUGGGUUGAGGGUAGGGUUCCUAACUGGCCCAAAACCCUUGAUAGAGAGAAUUCUUUUACACAUUCAAGUUUCAUCCCUACACCCCUGCACUUUCUCACAGUUCAUGGUGUUAGAGCUUCUGCAGCAGUGGGGAGAAGAGGGCUUCCUGGCUCAUGUACAGAGGGUCACUGAUUUCUACAGGAGCCAGAGGGAUGCAGUAUUGGCCGCUGCAGACAAGUGGCUAAGUGGUUUGGCAGAAUGGAAUGUUCCCGUUGCCGGAAUGUUCUUAUGGAUUAAAAUGAAAGGCAUUCCCGACACAGAACAACUGAUUAAAGAAAAAGCCCUUAAGAAAGAGGUCUUAAUGCUUCCUGGAAAUGCUUUCUAUGUCGACAGCUCGGCCCCUAGCCCUUACUUCAGAGUAUCCUUCUCUUCAGUCUCUCCAGAGCAGAUGGAUGUGGCUUCUGUAGAUAAAAGAGACGAAACUGGAGUUCAAGUUUGCUGUCUUCAUGAUGAACCUUUCAGAACCUAAUGAGCAGUCCCAGAAAGUUCCCAACUUGUCAUGGGGAAAACCCGUUUCCUUUCGUCACAAAGUUACCACGCAUGAGAAGUACAAAUUCAUCAUAUCCUUCACUCUCCUUCUCUGAAGAAAAUAGCAUCAGCCUUCCAGAGACUAGCUCAACUUAUAAAAGAAAAUUUAUGAAGAAAUCAAACUGAUUAUAGUACUCAUAGAUUUUCCAGAUAAAUUAUUUUUGUGUUUAUUUGUAAGAAAUGAACAUUGACGUUGGACUUCUAGAUUGGACUCCAUCAAAUGUGUCAUGUCUGUGUAUGUCCUAUUUUAACUAGACAAGUUUUGAAGUGCCUUUAAGUCCAUCCGAUAGCCAAAAUAUAUUUAGAAUUUACUUAUAGCUUCUGAUUAAUUUUUAACCUGCAAAAAAAUAUUUUUAUCUUGAAUUUUAUUGUGAAGUGCUCAGUAGUUGCUUUAUAAUAUCCUGUAAAUCUUCGAAACCAAACACAUUAUUUGUAAUUUUAAAGAAAUAAGUUCAAAAUGGUAUAUAAGGUAUAUUUUUUUCUAUUUUUAGGGAAAUUUAGUGAUAGUUUAUUAUAAAAAUUGUUCUAAUUUGACCAUUAUAAUUAUAAUUAAUCCUUUGGUAAGAAUACCAUAGACAUUAUCAUAUGCUCCAGACAUCCCUUUAAAAUAAAAUUCUGGAAUUAACAUACCUGAAGGCAUUAGGCCUAUUAAUUCUAAGUAAGGAGGGGAAAUCAUGGGCAUAGGAAAAUUUACUACAUUGUAUUUUCAUGAUACUACAUAAUUUACAAAAGCACAUUCUUAUCAGUUAUGUCACUGAAAUCUACUACAACCCUUUGAGGUAUUAGGAUAUAUUUUUUAAAUCAUUAUUUUCCCAUCCAAUUAUUAAAGGAACAUAUUCUUUUUUAAAAAAUAUCUUUAUUUUAUUUAUUUAUUUUUAUGUGGUGCUGAGGAUUGAGCCCAGUGCCUCAUGCAUAAGAGGCAAGCACUCUACCACUGAGCUACAACCCAGCCCUAAAGUAACAUAUUCUUAUCCUAAACUUUCAAACAAUAUAGAAAGUGUGAGGAAUAAAGUAAAAGCCACUCACUCUCUCACCCCCAUUGAUAAUUGCCAUCAGCAUCGAUCACUUUUCUUUCAAGAUGCUUUCCUAUGCAUGCACAUUGUGAUAUCUAAAACACUGGCACUCAUUGUGACAGUGCAUCAUAAAUACCCUGUAUUAGUUUUCUAUCACUGUUUAACAAAUCAACACUGUGUUUCAAGAUCCAGCAAUUGUAAACUUAUGGGUUCCUUUGAGGAACUGGAAGUUUAUGUCCUUAUUAUUUAUUCUACCCCUUGUGUAUAUGAAUAUCUCCAUGAUACUUAUUGUUGACUUGGCAUCUGGGUGAAAUGUCACAUCAUCUUCUACCUCAAAGGUCAAAGCACCUGGCCCCAAGUCCAAAUCCUUAUUUCUGAGGCAACUGGUCACAGCUCUUUAGAAGAGAUUAAAGAGACUCAGGGCCUAAAGGAUGGCCAAAAUGAAGACCUAACAAUCCCCUUAACUGGGAGAAGAGGAAAGUAUAAAUUAGACUUAUGGAGAUAAAAUAAGCCUUCUACUUACUUCAUUUAGUAAUUUUCAGCACUAACAAAGAUGUCCCAGCCCAGCACUACAUACGCGAGUCCUGCAGCUUCUAAGAAAUUCUACUCUCAUUCAGUACAAAGAUGAUCCAGUCUUUCAUCCUCUCACUGAAGAGUGCCCUGAAAUGGACUCAUCUUACAUUUUUUUUUACAGCAAUUUGCGCAUAAAGAUCAGAAGGUUGUGACAACAGCCAUUAGGGGAUAAUACUAAGAAACUAGAGUACACUCUUUGACAGGCAUCUCCACAAACUUAACUAAUCAAAAUUAAACAAUACUACGUUUAUGUAACAAAGGUAGCUCAGCCACACUCAAGUCCAGCUGAUCAGAGUCUUUUUUCAGGGCAUGAUAAUGAUUAAGAGGUAUCAUUUUGGUAAUUAGCGUAUUAACACAGGUCACAGUAAUCUGGACAUCCACAAAGAGAAACGUGAACAUUAGAAAAGUCUGGAAUGCCACACUUCGGGAUGCCUGCAAACCAACUGUCAGCUGCUCCCAUAAAUACAUUAGGAGUUCCUUCUCCCUGAGAAAUGUCCUAAUUUAGUUAGUGGUAGCGUCUAGAGAAACAGUCAUCUCAGCCACCUUUUAGAUUAAGUUUUCUGUAGUAGUAAAAUCAGAAGAAAAAUAGGUACAAUAUUCAAUUUUGUUCAUCACAAAUAUUAUACAAGCCCCCAACAUGGGCAAAGAGAUCUAAAGAUGCGUGAUGUUCCACUAAAUGUGUGUCAAACAUGUAUAAUCUCAUUUACUUUUUGGAGAAUGGCUUCUAAGUAGAACUUCUAAGUAGAACUGAACGCCAGAGAGACCUGAUUGACUACAAAAUCCAAGAUUUACCCUAACUUGCAGAGUAGCUUCAAAUUCCAUAUGACUAGAUUCUGCUGGCUGACCAGAGUAAUUCCAUAGGAACCCUAUGGGAACCUUUCCUCAGUGGAAACUAACUUAUCUUCAUCUAUUUCAAGGUUGGCACUAAUUUUAGUUACUGACUGCUUUGCCCUCUGAUGAUGGAAUAUUAUCCAGAAGCCAAGACAAGGCAGAUGGCAAGAUCCAAACCAACAAAGGAGGCAAAACAGGAAGCAAAUUCUCUAUAGACCCAAUACAGGCCCUCAGGGAAUGGAAAAGAGGGCCACCUAGUGGCGUUUGCGUAGAAAUCAGUCAAAUUUGUUCACCCAUGAGUCUAUGCAGCUCUUAAACAAGGUCCAAUGGAAAUUUACUUUUAUGCCGUCUCCAUAUAGCAUGCUAUAAUAGUACAUAACAACAUUUAGUAGAAAGGGACCUUACUAGACCUAAUUCAGUGACAUUAUACAAGCAAUUAUUUGUACCUACAUAAGUAGUCCCUUGGUCUUGACUGUGCAAUACCUAGCAAUACAUACCUUUUGCAGGCAUCACUUGGAUAGGUUUUCCAUAUUUGAUAGUGAACAGGUUACUAAUAGAAAGGUCAGGGUAGUAUUUCCAGUCAGCUUAAGAAACCAAGCAGUAGUGAUAUGUACAAUAUCACAGUCUUCCCUUUCCCUUUUGGGUUUUCAGAAUCAGUCUCACUGGGAACACAGAGGCUUAAUGUUAGGGAAAUUGUUCCUUGAAACAGUGGAAACUUCGAGGACUCAGGGAGGACCAGGUGGUUGACUGAGCCCUCUAUGAGUCCCUGCUGACCAUUGAAUUUAUAUCCUUUCAUAUACCAACUUUGUCAGGUACUAUUGCACUCUUUACUAAAUAGGUCAUCUGGGGAAGUUGAUACCACAUUUCCUUGAUAUUCAGGAUUAGUUCAUAGGUAGGGGCUUCAACAUUAACAAAGGCAAUCCAUAAGGGCAAUGGGAUAUCAGAAAGGAGUUCAUCUACUUGGACUCUAUUUUUUAUGUGGGUCCAACAACAAGAAGCAAGAAGCCAUUUUUGUUCCCACAACAUGCCAAAAUUGUGGACUACUCCAAAAAGCAUAUCUACUCUCUGCUAAACAUUUACAGAUUAGCUAUUCACAAACUUGGGUAAAAGCAAAAAUCCCUAAAGGCCAAUCCAACUUCCACUGAGGAAGAGUUCCCUUUUCUAUUGACUCAUCUUGGUUUAACAGGAGACCCUUAACUGAUAUUUUCCCAUUCAGCAAAAAAACAUGAACUCAGGAUUAUCCAAUGGGGCAUCUCACAAAUCAACCUGAGCAGCCACUAUUUCUCGGCCUACACUCAUACAAUUGUACUUUUCACCAUCAUCAGGUAGAAGUGAUAGGGUUAAGUUGCAACAUUUUAGAUGGACAGCAGGAGAAAGGAGAAGAAUCUCACCAAUUUCUAGUAGUCUACUGUUAAGAAAUGCUAAGUUUGGAAAUUAAUAGACUUUUCACAGCAAGUUGGACUUGCAUAUAAAGUUCAUUUCCUAAAACCCAUCUGGCUGCUGUUGCUUCUGUUUUAAAUAUUUAGGACAUGCCUUAGCUACUAGGUCUAAUUGCAGACUGAUGCAAGAUGGGUCUAUGUUGUCCCCCACAUUCAUGGGUAAGAAUGCCUGAUUGUUACACUCAUGAAUUAACAAGGUAAAGAUUUAGAAUAGUUUGAAAUUCCUAAGGCUGAGGCCUGUUGUAAGGUCAGCUUCAUUUAGUUAGAGCCUGCUUAUAAGUGUCUUCCCUUAUUAAAGGCUCUGGAACUGUAUUGCUAGUAAGCUCACAGAAUGGUAAGGCUGUUAGGGGAAAUUUGGGGACCCAAGAACUGCAGUAUUCUGCAAGUCCAAGAAAACCUCUUAAUUGUCUUUGGUUGUAGGCCAGGGGAAAGUGAAUAGGUUUUGUUCUCUCAAGCAACACAGAAAUCCCUUUGGGAGUCGGGUCAUGUCCUGAAUAGUGGACUUUUCCAAUUAAAAAUUGGAACUUUUCCAUCAAAACCUUCUGAUCUUUAUGUACAAAUUGCUGUAAAAGGUAAGAUGAGUCCAUUUCAGGGCACUGUUCAGUGGGGGAGAGUAACACUGAAAUCAUCUUUGUACCGAAUGAGACUAGAAUUUCUAAGAAACUGCAGGACUGUGAGGUCCUGAUGCAAUUACUGGAGAAAAGAAAGCAGCUUCAGUAAGCCCCAGGGUGAUACAGUCCAGGUAUUCUAUUGACUUUUCCAAGAACACACAAAUACUGGACCUCUUUCUCAAUAAGGAUACUAAGGAAAGCAAAGGUCUGUUACUGUUCAAAGGUCUGUUACUGUGUACCAUUUAGGUUUUAUGUUUUGGGGGUUGGUUUGGAUUUUUGUUUUGUUUUGUUUGGGUUUUUUUCAUUUGUUUGUUUGUUGCAUGGGUUGGUUGGGUGGUGGUUUGGUCUUUGCUAUUUCUUCUCAUGACAGAAUGUUUAUUAUUGUUUAUUAUUUUAUGCCAGUAUAUCUGGUGCAGGUUCAAUUCUUCAGAAAAUAGUAUGAACAAUACAAACAUUAUUAUCAUACUUGUAAUUUUUAAGUUUUCAUAACUGAACCGCCAGUUCAUAAUAUAGAUGCUGUUAUUUGAGUGAAGCACAUUUAUUAAAUAGACAUGUGAAAACAUUUUAGUAUAAACUGACAAGAUUUAAGUCAAAAAGACUGUAGGCUGAUUCGCAUGUGCCAUUUUGAAUCAGUGAUAUUUGACAAGAAGGUAUUAGUGUUUGGAACUACAAGAAACCUCAGUAUCACAAUUUGAUAAGUUACUUGAGAAUCUUGAAGGCAUUUCCAAACGUGUCCAGUUGGCUCUUUAACUAAUAGGACUGGAGUGUCACAAGGACUGGUGCAUGGAAUUGCGAGUUCCUGUUGGUUUAAGUUCUCUACAAUUGAGGAAAGUCCUUGAAUUGCUUCAGGCUUUAGUGUAUUUUGGAUUAACUCAGGCAAAGGGUUAGAAUGAUCUAUUUAGUCUUUAAUGGGCUCCACACAUUUAACCUUCCUCUAUCAGUAGAAAAAGAAGUUCAUAAAUAAUCCUAUAUAUUAGAAAGAUCCAGAGCAUUGCAGCCCUGAGUUUGAAUUUACCAAUUUCUGUCUAUAGAGAGCACAGUAGUUCUGGUUGCAUACAGUUGGGAAAUCCUGAGAUUAUAUAAACCUCUGAAGAGAAUGUUUUAUGCCCUUUUCAUUUAGGAAGUCAGUCUCACCCAGAAAGCUUACUGGAACAGUAUCACAUAGUAAAAAAAAAAAAAAAAAAAGGGCAUGUUUUUCUAAAAAUGUCCCUGAAGUCAAUUAGAUGGUUUCAGAUAGUGGGAACUUCUUACCUUGAUUGAAAAACCCCAAAAACAGAAAUGAUCAUUUUUUUUACUCUGAGGGAUUCUUUAAAGUGGAGCUUAUGGAAGGUAAAGUGGUCCCAGUAUAUACCAGAAUUGUGCAGGACCCCCCAAUCUGUACUUGGAGAGACAUAAGCUUGCUAGACUCGGGGGGUGGGGGGUGGUCUCUUACUCUUAAAUCCUCUCAAAAUGCUCAGCCAAUGCCACCAAUUCGACAAAACUCUCUAAGUUCUCAUCCUAGUUUUUCUUUUUUUAAUUUGGCUGCUAAGUUCAGGGGACGUCUACUUACAGACACACCGGUUACCACUGCAGUCCCUAGAGGAGAUGCCUCUUGCUCUAUUUCCAGAUUGGAUUGUUUUACAAGUACUAUUUCCUAAUAAACUCUAUAAUCUGAAACUGGUU